rnacentral:rRNA from 1 species
AUACGUAGGUGGCAAGCGUUGUCCGGAAUGAUUGGGCGUAAAGGGCGCGUAGGCGGCGCGGUAAGUCUGGAGUGAAAGUCCCGCAUUCAAUGUGGGAAUUGCUUUGGAUACUGCAGUGCUAGAGUGCGGAAGAGGUAAGUGGAAUUCCCAGUGUAGCGGUGAAAUGCGUAGAGAUUGGGAGGAACACCAGUGGCGAAGGCGACUUACUGGGCCGUAACUGACGCUGAGGCGCGAAAGCGUGGGGAGCGAACAGGAUUAGAUACCCUGGUAGUCCACGCGGUAAACGAUGAAUGCUAGGUGUUGCGGGUAUCGACCCCUGCAGUGCCGGAGUAAACACAAUAAGCAUUCCGCCUGGGGAGUACGGCCGCAAGGUUGAAACUCAAAUGAAUUGGCGGGG